rnacentral:lncRNA from 1 species
UCUGCAAGCUUUAAGGCUAAACGCUUACGAACCACCUAAAAGUAUCAAUGAACUCUUAAAAACCUCUGCAAGCUUUAAGGCUAAAUAUUCACGAACCACCUAAGAGUAUCAAGGAACUCUUAAAAACCUUUGAACCUUUAAGGUAGAUUCAACCUAAGAAUUUUUCGGAAACUUUAUAAAACCAAACCGAGUUUUAUGGUUGAACUCGUUGAACCUUACAAGUUUUGAUGUUGAGACACACCUCUCACAAUACUUGGAACACUUACAAGAUGUAGAGCUUGUUCUUCUAAAACACUUUUGACAUACACGAGAGGGAAAGAAGAAGUUGAAGAACUAGAGCACACAACCUUGAGAGCAACUCCCAAACAAAGCUUAACCGAGAGCUAGAGCUUGAGCAAGAGUAAGAGAGUGAGAAGUAGAGCUUUGAUUCUAAAGAGAAUUUUAACAAAGAUGGUAAGUGAUGACUUUGCUCUUAAGUGUGUCCCUCCUUAUAUAGUAGACGUUGGUGGCAUGGAGGUAAUUUUCUUCAACUCUUGAACACCUAGGAAGAAGAGAUUCAAAAAUACUUCAUUGAUUACAUCAUUGGUGGAGAGCUCUUCUUCAUUUUGAAUUCACAUUCUAUGAUUUUGUGUAGCAUUUAAUCCAAGAUCUUUGUUGGAUUUGAUAUUGGGAGAUUGAACCUUCCACACGUUUUUCUCCUCUCCAUUUUUGAAUUCUUCAUCUAAGAGAUUUUGUGUAGCAUUGAAUCCAAGAACCUUGUAGUUAAUUUGUUGGAUUUGAUCUUGAAAUCUUUGUCAUGAUUGUUCUUCUACACGUUUUUUGUAUCUUGGGUUCCUUUGAAGCUUGCAUGAAUAAUUGUACUUCUCACACCAUGUUGAUUAACCUUUAAAACAUUAAGCAACUUGAAAACAAGAGUUAAUUCAAACAAGUAGGUGUGCAUAAUUAAAUACAAGUUUCAAUAAUUAACUUGAUCAAUAUAAAGAUUUGUUUGAUGGAAAUAAUUAAAGCUAAUCUCAUUUUGAUUUAAUCAUAUAUCAAGUCAAUUUUAUUAAUAUGAGUUCAAUAAAUUUAUCUAUGUAAUUUUAACUCAUAUAUGUCUAUAUCUUGUUAAUUAGGGUUUACUAAUUAAGAUUAAUUAACAACUAAAUAUGACAUUGAGAAUCUUGUUUCUACAGAACCUUCAGUUGUCUAGAGACAGGCAAUUACAUAUUCAGUUUGCAUCAGUACUCCCAAACCCUGUCCAGAUGCGUCGCAAUAAAUUACAAAGUGACCCUCUGGUGUGGGAAGUGCUAAUAUAGGUGUUGUCGUUAAUCUUCCUUUCAAUUCCUGAAAGUUGUUUUCACAUUCAUCUGCCCAUUCAUACUUCACUCCCUUCCUCGUGAGACUGGUCAAUGGCAAAGCUAUUUUGGAGAAAUUUUGAAUAAAUUUCCGAUAAUAUCCCGUCAGCCCCAAAAAACUCCUGACCUCCGUCAUAUUCUUGGGUUGCCUCCAUUCAGCCACUGCUUUCACCUUUGUUGGAUCCACCGUGAUCCUAUCUUUGCUAAUCACAUGACCCAAGAAGGUAACGUUGUUCAACCAAAAUUCACAUUUUGAAAGCUUUGCGAAUAAUUGAUGUUCCUUAAGCGUUUCUAGUACCAAUCUCCGAUGUUCCCGAUGAUUUGCCUCACUAUUUGAGUACACCAAAGUAUCAUCCACGAAUACAAUCACAAACUUAUCCAGGAACUUGCUAAAUACUGAAUUCAUCAUGUUCAUAAAUGUUGUUGGAGCAUUAGUGAGUCCGAAAGGCAUCACCAUGAAUCCAUAGUAUCUAUAACGAUUUCGAAAUGCGGUCUUGGAUAUGUUUGUCUCUCGAACUCUCAGUUGAUGGUAUCCCGACCUCAAGUCAAUCUUUGAGAACACGGCUGCUCCUUGCAGUUGGUCGAAUAACUCAUCUAUUCUAGGUAGUGGGGAUUUGUUUUUAAUAAUUUUCUGAUUCAACAUCCUUCAUUUAAUAGUUUUUAAUAACUCAUCCUUCAUUUGAAAAUAUUUCAUGUGUUAGUAGGGGUGAGAUUUCCCAUCCCCGGUACCCGACCCGUACCCGGACAGGUGGGUACGGGGACGAUUUUCCUAUCCGAAAGAGAAAAUUCCUCGUCUCCAUCCCCGGUCAUUUCCGGGUACGGGGAUGGGGAUUGAAAUCCCCGCCCCGAAUAAUCCCCGUACCCGGGGAAAAUUGUAUAUAAACCCUAUAAAAAAAUUAAUAUUGUAUAAUUUAUAUAAUUGUAUAAACAAUAUAUUAAAUAGAUAAAUUUAUAUUUAAAAUUGUAAAAUUAAAUCUAUACCCUAAUUAAAAAGUUAAACAUAAACUCCAACUUCAAAUGCUCAAAUAACUACCGCCGACCAUCUUGUUCCACCGUUGACUAUCUAGUAAUUAUUUAAACUAUUUACAUUUAAAUCAAUAUUUUAAUUACAUUAAUAAAUAGUAACUAUUUAGUAGUAACAUACUAACAUUAGUAUUUUUAGUAAAUUACUGUUUAAAAAAAAUUAAAAUUUUGAUCUGGGAAUGCAAUCCCCUAUGCUCACCCCUAUGUGUUAGUAUGGAGAGAAUGGACAAGAGUCAAGACACCAAAGAUGUACCAGAUCAGAUCCCUCCCUGAUAACAAGUUAGCUGUAGCCGCUUGAGUCCACCGUCGGGGAGAAUUGCCUCUCGCAGCCAUCGUCAACACACAGAAAAUCAGAAAUGGAGAGAGAAGGGGGGGGAGUUGAAGGUUGGAGAAGAAAGAUAUGUUGAUAUGAUGUGGAUUGUCGACCAAAUUUAUUAGCCGGUGGUAAAAUUGCAUUAAG